rnacentral:rRNA from 1 species
AGCUCCAAUAGCGUAUAUUAAAGUUGUUGUGGUUAAAAAGCUCGUAGUUGGAUCUCGGCGGUCUGAGGGCGGUUCGCUUGAUUGAGUGCUACUGCUCUAUAGGCCGUGGUUUUGCCAGAGGUCUCGGGGUGCUCUUAACCGAGUGUCCUGCGAUGCUGGCAGGUUUACUUUGAAAAAAUUAGAGUGCUCAAAGCAGGCUUUUACGCCUGAAUAUUCGUGCAUGGAAUAAUAGAAUAGGAAGUCGUUUCUAUUUUGUUGGUUUUCGGAAAUCGACUUAAUGAUUAAUAGGGACAAACGACAGAGGUGAAAUUCUUGGACCGUUUGAAGACAAACUACUGCGAAAGCAUUUGCCAAGAAUGUUUUCA